rnacentral:rRNA from 1 species
UACGUAGGGUCCGAGCGUUGUCCGGAAUUAUUGGGCGUAAAGAGCUCGUAGGCGGUUUGUCGCGUCUGCUGUGAAAUCUAGAGGCUCAACCUCGGGCCUGCAGUGGGUACGGGCAGACUAGAGUGCGGUAGGGGAGAUUGGAAUUCUUGGUGUAGCGGUGAAAUGCGUAGAUAUCAAGAGGAACACCUGAGGUGAAGACGGGUUGCUGGGCUGAUACUGACGCUGAGGCGCGAAAGCUAGGGUAGCAAACGGG